ACCUAGUUUGUGUUCUGUUGGUUCAUUGGCCCCUUUUUCCCAUGUUUUUGUAUUUAUAUCCUGGUUUUUGGUUUAGUCCUUGUCUGUCGCUGAAUGCUGUUGUACGUAGUUUGUGCUCGCUCCUAUGCCUGUGUUUUCGUGUUUUGUUUUCAUUUGCCCAUCGUGGUAGUUUUGUUUAUUCAUGCCUGUUUGUUUCCUUUAAUCAAUAAACCCGCAUUUGGAUCCUCAUCCCUUGUCUGACUCCGACCUCAUUCGUUACACUCCUAAACCUUUGGAAUCAAAUGAAGAUUUCCUUGAUCAUAACAGCAAGAUAUUUUCUGAUGGAGAUAUGGUGCCAAAGGCUCCAUCCAAGCCUGCUCUACGCAGCUGCUUGUUGCCGAAGGUUCGCACACAAAUGAUGUCAUCGCAGCGUUGCUGGGAGGAAUGAGUAAAACUGACUGUGGUGCAGAGAGAAGGAAUGCCCUUGACAAGGACACCAUGGCAGCAAUAUAUGGUCACCAGAACCGUGUGGAUCCAGCUCCAUUCCUGCUUCGUGUUGGAC